UAGGGGCGGAUGUAGCCAAG
rnacentral:tRNA from 2 species